GAUACCCACGUGAGAAAGGUUAUUCACUCCUAAAAUAUCAAUAGUUGCAGCAAAGGAAGUCAUGGGAACAUUGUCAGUGUGUCAAAGAAUUAAUAUAAAAAAGGGGAUUUCAUCUUCUCAACCUCAAGUACUCAAGUAGUACCUCACUGUUACAAAAAGCUUCUUCUGCUGACGAUAGGGAAACAAGUCAAAAGCACUCUGCAACCUGCAAAACAAAUAAAAUAAAAUAAGCAAGGAAGGGGUUGCAAACUGAAACCCACCGAUCGGUGAUCAAAUUACAUAAAUAAAGUAGAGAGAAAAGAGGGUACUGACAAUUUCAGACAGUAGCGGCUGCAGAGUAUGAGAUGGUGAAAGUUUCGGAUCGAGAGCCCUAAUUUAUAUUGGAGUCAUAGGGUUACUGCCUAAGUAAUUUCGUAGUCGAAACCAGAAAAUUAUGGAGGGAAUCAAAGAUUUCCCGCCACAUGGUGCCAGUUCAUUUGGUACCAAAAUUAAUUGAACGGUGGAAAUCUCGCAAACAAUCGAUCAAAUCGGACCGAAAAUAUGUCUAAGGUUUCUUUCCAUAUGCAUUUGGUACUCGGAAAUCUUUACCGAAUUGCGUCAAAAGUAUUUGAGAUUCUCUACAAAAUUGAUGAAUCUCUGCAAAUUUGGGAACCUUACACGGGUCCAAAGAAUCCCAACAAGCAUAAGGAACCCUUCCAAAUUUUUGGGUGUCCUUACAAAUUUGGGAAUUCCCCGUGGAAAAAAAAAUCCUACACACUGGAGCCCAAGAAGUUGGCUCAAAAUUGUCCACCUUAAAAGCACGGACUUCAAGUCGCACCUUCGACACGCGACAACAGCAUGACUACGACGCACCUUGAAGUGGGGGCAUUUGUAGACAUAUAAAAUUUAACGAUAAAUAAUAAUUGUUGAAUUGUCAAACAACAAGUGGGCCCGACAAAUUGCAUACGUGGCUCGUGAGUUGGCAAAGUUGAAAAGUCUUCGGAGAUGCCACAUGGCGACACGCAAAUGGUCAGUCAACAACUAAAUCGUCGAAUCUCGUCUGAAAGCAAAUGUUAAAUGUCAGCCGUUGAUCGAACGUCAAUCAAAUUAAAUUGGUCAUCGGAAUGGAAAGUAGACAUUUAAUCAAAUUAGUUAUACCUUAUCAGUUGUAAUUAAAUUAAUCAAUUAAGAUUGAUUGAUUUAUUUAUGUUAACAAUAAUAAAUUGAAUUAAUCAUUAAAAUUGAUUGAUUUAGUUAUUACUGUUAAGGAAUGACAAUCAAAGUGGUGUCUUCAAAACCUACCAUAAAUGAAAUAGUGUUGACACUAUAAAUACCCCCUCUCAUAUCAAGAGGAGGACUUCCGACAAGAGAGAAAAAUUACUCCCGAGAGCUCAGAAGUCUCCCACAAACUUGUGAAGAACUACCAAACCCCCCAAAUAGCUAGUUCCUCACCAAACCCAAAUCCAAAUCCCAAACACACGUCACUUGACUAAAUUUCUUGUGACCAAUCUCAUCUCAAGAACAAGUGCUUUGGCACCCUUGAGUAAAACCCAAACUAGGAGGUUGAAUCAGAGGAUUCACAAAGAGUUGUAACCCGCAUUCAUAUCAAUAAAAUUAUGUUCUUUUUGUACACGUGUUGUUCUUGCAUUUGUCGCAGAUUAUUCGUGUUUACAGCAGGUUUCACUGUGUCUAAAAUAGUCUCUUGCCAAAUUAGGACUCUAAUAAGGUCUCUCUUUCUCUCUUCUUGCACAACUUCAUGAUCACGACAUACAAAUUUAUACAUAUCAAACAGAAAACUAUGGACAAAGGAGACUUUCAAAUUUAUACAUAUCAAACUCGUAAGAGACUUUCCCACGACAUUUGUUGAACGCAGGUUUCACUAUGUCUAAAAUAGUCUCUUGCCAAAUUAGGACUCUAAUAAGGUCUCUCUUUCUCUCUUCUUGCACAACUACGAUACACGCACACCUUCCUCGCUCACUCCUCGGCUGCUAUGAUGUAGAUUUUCCCUUUCCUACUUUUCGGUGAAACAUUCCACUGAAAACAUCUUUAAUUUCUUGCCGAUAAUUAUUUUCCAAGUUAAAUUUGUUAUAUCACCAAAUCAUAUUUGAAUCUUUAAUAAAGAAAGAGCAAAAAUUAUUCAGCAUACUUUUAGAACUUGUCAAGGUGUUCCGCACAAACUAAUUUUUUUUGUUAAAAGAAAUUGGGGGUCAAUCCAUUAAAACAUAGUAAUGUUACAUUAGCAUAUCUCAGCCCAGAAGGACAUCGACGAAAAUGAGCUAUCCAAAGGAAGCUAUUGGCGGCCUAAUACCACAUAGAAACAUAAAAAAGCUGCCUUACAUGCAACAAAACUAGAUAAAAAAAAUAAAAAUAAAAGAAGAAAACCCUAGAGCAUUU
rnacentral:lncRNA from 1 species